rnacentral:rRNA from 1 species
GACGAACGCUGGCGGCAUGCCUAAUACAUGCAAGUCGAGCGAACAGAUGAAGUGCUUGCACUUCUGACGUUAGCGGCGAACGGGUGAGUAACACGUAAGGAAUCUACCUAUAAGCGGGGGAUAACAUUCGGAAACGGGUGCUAAUACCGCAUAAUAUCUUCUUCCGCAUGGAAGAAGAUUGAAAGACGGCUCUGCUGUCACUUAUAGAUGACCUUGCGGUGCAUUAGUUAGUUGGUGGGGUAACGGCCUACCAAGACGAUGAUGCAUAGCCGACCUGAGAGGGUGAUCGGCCACAUUGGGACGGAGACACAGCCCAAACUCCUACGGGAGGCAGCAGUAGGGAAUCUUCCGAAAUGGGCGAAAGCCUGACGGAGCAAUGCCGCGUGAGUGAAGAAGGCCUUCGGGUCGUAAAACUCUGUUAUAAGAGAAGAACAAAUUGUAGAGUAACUGCUACAGUCUUGACGGUAUCUUAUCAGAAAGCCACGGCUAACUACGUGCCAGCAGCCGCCGUAA